UAACGGUAAGAAAAAAAGUAAUAACGUCAAUAUUAUUUAUAGAAAUAACAUAUAUGGAAAUAACAUAUAUGGAAAUAACAGCAAUAACCAAUAGUGGUAAUAACAGUAAUAACAGCGAUAGCAAUAGUUGUAAUAACAGUAAUGCCAACAAUAAUAUCCCAUAACAACUAUACUAAUACACACAGCAUAAAAACAACAAUAACUAAAAACAUUAUGUUAAUUAAUGACUCGGACAAUAGCCACGACGAUGACAACGGAAGAAUGCAUUGCACAAGGGAACCAGUUGUCUCAAUUCAGGUGUUGCUAUUGUAUGUUAGUUGGUUAAACAAGACAUUCCCAUAAUAUCCAGAUUUAUUUUUUCACCUCUCCAUUGACUCAGGGACAAAUGGAUGAUGAUUAUUUGCCAAUAAAUAACAACUGAAUACCAGUCUACAAUUGUCUGAUUAUCGAUACCAAGGUCGCCAUCUCCUGACAGAAGUACACGUAUUUCAAAAUGUGUCUGGUUACGGAGAAAUGACCGGUUACGAUAAUGUUUUAUUUCCUGUUUAAAAAAGUACAUGUAAAACUUGUUUCUAAAAAAAAAAAUGCUGAAUGAAUUGCUUUUAUCGACACUAAUUGUGCCGUCCCACUUUGUAAACAAAAUUAUUAGAUAGAACUUAACGCGUGAAGUUUCACAGAUGAACAUAGGCAAUCCCCUGGAUUACUUGAAAUGUAUACGUGUAAUUAAAUAUUGUCUAUAAUCAGGAUGCUAUUCGAGGAUUAUAGCCAAUUUUAUUCAUAUUAUAAUUUUCAACUGCUGAAGAAAGAAAAACAUUUAUUUUGAAAUACUAAAUGUAUAUAUAUAUAUAUAUAAAGAAAAAGACAAAUACCACUCUCCCACUUAUGUACAUACAGACAAAAAAGGAAAAAGGACAAUGAACCACUGACUGAAUGAUUAUUUUACAUCCAAAAGAAAUCAAACCCUGUUUUAUAAGGAAACAGUGAAAAAUAAUGUUUCUCUUUUGAAAUUAUUCCAGCAUAGAUUCUAAAAUAUUCAU